CCUGGCUGCCUGACAAACAGUCCUCAGACCAGCGGGACCUAUUGAUAUUCUGAUGACAUUUCACAAACAUGGUACUGCCUGAGACUCCAUGGUGAAGAAGAAAUGGACAGCUCAAACCCUAAGUCCCAAGGCUAUGAAGACAGCUGGCAUUACAGCAUGGAUCCUGAUCACACCCAGGCCAAGAAAUUGGAAAGCCACAGAUGAUGCUGGCCAAAUGGAAUGUCUCUGGACUGUGGACCCACUGAAAUUAAGUGCUUAGAUUGUACAACAUGGCAUCGUCCUCCAGGCUGCAACCAUGAGUUUUCCCAGUCAAGUUGUACAGAUGUCUGAUCAUGUUAAG